AUUGAACGCUGGCGGCAUGCCUUACACAUGCAAGUCGAACGGUAACAGGUCUUCGGAUGCUGACGAGUGGCGAACGGGUGAGUAAUACAUCGGAACGUGCCCAGACGUGGGGGAUAACGAGGCGAAAGCUUUGCUAAUACCGCAUACGAUCUAAGGAUGAAAGCAGGCGACCGCAAGGCCUUGCGCGUUUGGAGCGGCCGAUGGCAGAUUAGGUAGUUGGUGGGAUAAAAGCUUACCAAGCCGACGAUCUGUAGCUGGUCUGAGAGGACGACCAGCCACACUGGGACUGAGACACGGCCCAGACUCCUACGGGAGGCAGCAGUGGGGAAUUUUGGACAAUGGGCGAAAGCCUGAUCCAGCAAUGCCGCGUGCAGGAUGAAGGCCUUCGGGUUGUAAACUGCUUUUGUACGGAACGAAAAGGCUCUGGCUAAUACCUGGGGCACAUGACGGUACCGUAAGAAUAAGCACCGGCUAACUACGUG
rnacentral:rRNA from 1 species